GAAAAUCAAGGCUGAGGCGUGAUGACGAGGCACUACGGUGCUGAAGCAACAAAUGCCCUGCUUCCAGGAAAAGCCUCUAAGCAUCAGGUAACAUCAAAUCGUACCCCAAACCGACACAGGUGGUCAGGUAGAGAAUACCAAGGCGCUUGAGAGAACUCGGGUGAAGGAACUAGGCAAAAUGGUGCCGUAACUUCGGGAGAAGGCACGCUGAUAUGUAGGUGAAGUCCCUCGCGGAUGGAGCUGAAAUCAGUCGAAGAUACCAGCUGGCUGCAACUGUUUAUUAAAAACACAGCACUGUGCAAACACGAAAGUGGACGUAUACGGUGUGACGCCUGCCCGGUGCCGGAAGGUUAAUUGAUGGGGUCAGCGCAAGCGAAGCUCUUGAUCGAAGCCCCGGUAAACGGCGGCCGUAACUAUAACGGUCCUAAGGUAGCGAAAUUCCUUGUCGGGUAAGUUCCGACCUGCACGAAUGGCGUAAUGAUGGCCAGGCUGUCUCCACCCGAGACUCAGUGAAAUUGAACUCGCUGUGAAGAUGCAGUGUACCCGCGGCAAGACGGAAAGACCCCGUGAACCUUUACUAUAGCUUGACACUGAACAUUGAGCCUUGAUGUGUAGGAUAGGUGGGAGGCUUAGAAGUGUGGACGCCAGUCUGCAUGGAGCCGACCUUGAAAUACCACCCUUUAAUGUUUGAUGUUCUAACGUUGACCCGUAAUCCGGGUUGCGGACAGUGUCUGGUGGGUAGUUUGACUGGGGCGGUCUCCUCCUAAAGAGUAACGGAGGAGCACGAAGGUUGGCUAAUCCUGGUCGGACAUCAGGAGGUUAGUGCAAUGGCAUAAGCCAGCUUGACUGCGAGCGUGACGGCGCGAGCAGGUGCGAAAGCAGGUCAUAGUGAUCCGGUGGUUCUGAAUGGAAGGGCCAUCGCUCAACGGAUAAAAGGUACUCCGGGGAUAACAGGCUGAUACCGCCCAAGAGUUCAUAUCGACGGCGGUGUUUGGCACCUCGAUGUCGGCUCAUCACAUCCUGGGGCUGAAGUAGGUCCCAAGGGUAUGGCUGUUCGCCAUUUAAAGUGGUACGCGAGCUGGGUUUAGAACGUCGUGAGACAGUUCGGUCCCUAUCUGCCGUGGGCGCUGGAGAACUGAGGGGGGCUGCUCCUAGUACGAGAGGACCGGAGUGGACGCAUCACUGGUGUUCGGGUUGUCAUGCCAAUGGCACUGCCCGGUAGCUAAAUGCGGAAGAGAUAAGUGCUGAAAGCAUCUAAGCACGAAACUUGCCCCGAGAUGAGUUCUCCCUGACCCUUUAAGGGUCCUGAAGGAACGUUGAAGACGACGACGUUGAUAGGCCGGGUGUGUAAGCGCAGCGAUGCGUUGAGCUAACCGGUACUAAUGAACCGUGAGGCUUAACCUUACAACGCCGAAGGUGUUU
rnacentral:rRNA from 1 species